rnacentral:rRNA from 1 species
GCACCAGCGGGUGGAGCAUGUGGUUUAAUUNGAAGCAACNGGAAGAACCUUACCAGUCUUGACAUNCUCUGAUGGCGGUAGAGAUACGUGUCCCUUCGGGGACAGAGUGACAGGUGGUGCAUGGUGUCGUCAGCUCGUGUCGUGAGAUGUUGGGUUAAGUCCCGCAACGAGCGCAACCCUUGAGAUUAGUUGCCAGCAUUCAGUUGGGCACUCUAAUCUGACUGCCGGUGACAAACCGGAGGAAGGUGGGGAUGACGUCAAAUCAUCAUGCCCCCUUAUGACCUGGGCUACACACGUGCUACAAUGGAUGGAACAAAGGGCAGCGAAACCGUGAGGGCAAGCAAAUCCCAUAAAACCAUUCUCAGUUCGGAUUGCAGGCUGCAACUCGCCUGCAUGAAGCCGGAAUCGCUAGUAAUCGCGGAUCAGCAUGCUGCGGUGAAUACGUUCCCGGGUCUUGUACACACCGCCCGUCACACCACGAGAGUUGGUAACACCCGAAGUCGGUGAGGUAACACAAUACGUGAGCCAGCCGCCGAAGGUGGGACCAAUGAUUGGGGUG